rnacentral:tRNA from 1 species
GCCUGGGUGGCUCAGUGGUUGAGCGUCUGACUUGGGCUCAGGGCGUGAUCAUGGAGUCCCAGGUU